rnacentral:rRNA from 1 species
CCUACGGGGCGCAGCAGUCGAGAAUCAUUCACAAUUGGGGAAACCCUUAUGGUGCGACGCCGCGUGGGGGAAUGAAGGUCUUCGGGUUGUAAACCCCUGUCAUGCGGGAGCAAUUUAAAAAGAUAGUACCACAAGAGGAAGAGACGGCUAACUCUGUGCCAGCAGCCGCGGUAAUACAGAGGUCUCAACCGUUGUUCGGAAUCACUGGGCGUAAGGGGUGCGUAGGCUGUUUCGAAGGGCGUGUGUGAAAGGCGCGGGCUCAACCCGCGGACGGCACAUGGGACUGCGAGACUAGAGUAAUGGAGGGGGAACCGGAAUUCUCGGUGUAGCAGUGAAAUGCGUAGAUAUCGAGAGGAACACUCGUGGCGAAGGCGGGUUCCUGGACAUUAACUGACGCUGAGGCACGAAGGCCAGGGGAGCGAAAGGGAUUAGAUACCCCUGUAGUC